GUAGUGGCUGUAUCCGUCCCCCCGUUUAAAUCCAGCGUCGUAAGCGUUGGACCGCGGGUGAUACCAUACAGCUAGAGGGUGGGAUAGGUGAGCGGUAUUUUUUGGGGUAGGGGCGAAAUCCUUUGUCCCAGGAGGACCACCAGUGGCGAAGGCUGCUCACUAGAACACGCCUGACGGUCAGGGACGAAAGCUGGGGCAGCGAACCGGAUUAGAUACCCGGGUAGUCCCACGCUGUAAACGAUGCUAGCUAGGUGUUGGGUCGGCCACGCGCCUGCCCCAGUGCCGCA
rnacentral:rRNA from 1 species